rnacentral:rRNA from 1 species
UGCUCCAUGAAUAAUUUUAAAUAGCUGCAGAAUUUUAACDGUACAAAGGUAGCAUAAUCAAUAGUUUUUUAAUUAAAAGCUGGAAUGAAUGAUUUAAUAAAGUAAUUAUUGUYUCAAUUUUAAUAAUAUUAUAAUUUUUUUUUUAGUAAAAAUACUAAAGUAAUUUUGAAAGACGAGAAGACCCUAUAGAUUUUUAUAAUUUAAAUUAAAUUAAUUUAAAUGAUUAAUAAAUUUUAAUUAAAAAUUAUUUGGUUGGGGAAAUUAUUAAAUUAAAUUAAUUUUAAUUAUUUAAAACAAAAAUUUUUGGGUUAUUGAUCUUUAUUUAAAAAUUAAUAGAAUAAAUUACCUUAGGGAUAACAGCGUAAUUUUUUUAGAUAGUUCAUAUUGAUAAAAAAGAUUGCGACCUCGAUGUUGAAUUAAGAUUAAAUUUUAAUGAAGAAAUUAAAAA